ACUUAGCUGACGAGUCCAAAUUAGGACAAAACGCGUGUUCUGGAU
rfam:Schistosoma rodhaini strain Burundi genome assembly, scaffold: SROB_scaffold0000505